rnacentral:tRNA from 1 species
GCUCAGUUGGUUAAGCAUCUGACUUCAGCUCAGGUCAUGAUCUCAUGGUUUGUGGGUUCAAGCCCCGCAUUGGGCU